GCGGGGAGCGAAGGGCGGCGGGGGGGAGGGCGGGCGCGCGGGAGGGAGGCGGCCCCUCCUCGGCGGAGCCAUGCGUGCCACUGGCAGCUGAGAGCCGCCGCCGCCGCCAAGUCUCCGCUCCGCUUUUGUCUUGCCCUCCAGUGAAUGGGAAGAUGGAGAUGGAUGUGGAGGGACUUUCUCCGCGCCCGGAGCCCAUCCCCCGGCCCCAGGGGGCUGGCGGAGCCUGCCAGGCGCCGCCACAGCCGCCCCAGCCCCAGCCCCAGCCCCAGCCGCAGCUGCUGGCUCAGGAUGAACUGCCCGGAGGAGGAGGUGAGAGUGCGGGACCCGAGGACAGCGACGACCCCGAGGCGAGACCCCACGGCAGCAGCGAGAGAGGAGAGAGCAAGUAUUUCAGUGACAAGAUCCACUGAGGAGAGUUGGGGCGAGGCUGGCUGAGGUUCUCAAGGAGCUGUUUUGAGUUCAGGUACCCACAUGGCAAUGGAAUGGUGCCUCCUGACCUUUCAGACCUUUGAGACCUCUGGGAGAUCUUAGAAAUCACCUCAACCUCCCAUCGAGGAUCCGACCAUCUGGGGGACUUCCAGGGAAAGGUAGCAGACAUAUCAUGGACUGAAAGGUGAUGGGUACCCCAAAGAGCUCACUACAAGACCUCAAAGAUUCCAAGCCACCGGCUGUUCCAACACAUAAAGCCACCAGUCUGGAGAGGCAGCAGGAAGCAAGAAGCAAUCCUGGAGGAGGCUCUCUGGUUGUUAUUGUUGUUGUUGUUUGGCCAGAGGACAGACCACCUUCUCAGGUGUCCUGGGGAACUGCUGAAGGACAGUGAGGAAGAUGCUGCUGGUCCCCAGGACAGAAACACAGCAGCUGGAACCAAGAGGCACCUAGAGUGGGACCCAAGCCCUCCAGACGGAGCUCUCUGAGCUGCGGUGCCCAAUUGGACUGUUUUUUGCUUUGCCAUCAUUUGUAUAACACACAAUUCUGGAUGUUUUCCAUUGGUUGGCUUUCUUUUUUCUUUUUUCCCCCCAACCUGUCCUUUCUUUUUCUCCUCUUGGCCCUGGGAAUUAUAAGCAAAGAAUUGCUUUAGAAAAUAUAAUUCUGUUGGUGACAUUAGCCUUGUUUUAUGAACAAAUUCUGUCACUGGGGAUUUUCUGCAUUGCAGUCCCAGGUUACCUAGUAAAUGGGGCUGCGUGGUUUGAUUUGUGUAGUACUGAUCCUUAGAUUAAAAAUACAUUUUCUUUCUUGCUUGCCUUUCUUUUUCUUUCUUUCUUUCUUUUUUUUUUUUUUUUUUUUUUUUUAGUUUGGAUUCAGGUAAUGUCCUGAAUCACAUUUGCUUAGCUACUGAAGCGAUCUCACUGUGGUAUCGCUUGGAUUUGAAAUAUAAUCAAACAUAUAUUAUACCAGGGGCGCCUGCACACUGUUUGAUAUAUAUGUUACGCUGCAAAGAAACACAAACCUAAUAGGUUGAAAUUUAAUUCCUGUCUGAUCCUGCAGCUGGAACGGGGGAGAAAUUAUACACAUCAAAAAUGGCUUCAAAUACCCUGAAUGUAAGCUAACCAAGAGUAAGUGGAUGCUUUCCAAAUGCCCUUUUCUGAGGCCAAGCAGAAACUGGAGAUCAGCGGACCUCACCACCAGGGUUGCUCGGGUCUGUCUGGGGACCUGCCCGUGUGUGGAGGGAUUAGGGAACAAGGCAUGCCUCUCUGUCUGGGUUUACGGAAACUGUGGCAUUUCUGACCUACGUCCUGUAACUGUGCCCUGCCUUGCAAUAAAACACCCUAAGUUGACUCAGCAA